GUCAUGCCCCUGGUAUGAACUGGUCUCACUGAUUCCUCCUUCAUGAUGAACCUUAAUGCCAUUAAUUUGGUGUUUUGGGGAAUUUGGACUAUUGCUUUGAAAAAAUUAGAGUGUUUAAAGCAAGUAAACGCUUGAAUACAUUAGCAUGGAAUAAUGAAAUAGGACGUUCGAUCCUAUUUUGUUGGUUUCUAGGAUUGACGUAAUGAUUAAUAGGGAUAGUUGGGGGCAUUAGUAUUCAAUUGUCAGAGGUGAAAUUCUUGGAUUUAUUGAAGACUAACUACUGCGAAAGCAUUUGCCAAGGAUGUUUUCAUUAAUCAAGAACGAAAGUUAGGGGAUCGAAGACGAUCAGAUACCGUCGUAGUCUUAACCAUAAACUAUGCCGACUAGGGAUCGGAUGAUGUUAAUUUUUUAAUGACUCA
rnacentral:rRNA from 1 species